rnacentral:snRNA from 1 species
AGAGAAAUGCUUGAAUCUGGGAGGAGGAGGUUGCAGUGAGCUGAGAUCACACCACUGCACUCCAGCCUGGGCAACAAGA